rnacentral:rRNA from 1 species
CGAGUGGCGGACGGGUGAGGAAUACAUCGGAAUCUACUUUUUCGUGGGGGAUAACGUAGGGAAACUUACGCUAAUACCGCAUACGACCUACGGGUGAAAGCAGGGGAUCUUCGGACCUUGCGCGAUUGAAUGAGCCGAUGUCGGAUUAGCUAGUUGGCGGGGUAAAGGCCCACCAAGGCGACGAUCCGUAGCUGGUCUGAGAGGAUGAUCAGCCACACUGGAACUGAGACACGGUCCAGACUCCUACGGGAGGCAGCAGUGGGGAAUAUUGGACAAUGGGCGCAAGCCUGAUCCAGCCAUACCGCGUGGGUGAAGAAGGCCUUCGGGUUGUAAAGCCCUUUUGUUGGGAAAGAAAUCCAGCUGGCUAAUACCCGGUUGGGAUGACGGUACCCAAAGAAUAAGCACCGGCUAACUUCGUGCCAGCAGCCGCGGUAAUACGAAGGGUGCAAGCGUUACUCGGAAUUACUGGGCGUAAAGCGUGCGUAGGUGGUCGUUUAAGUCCGUUGUGAAAGCCCUGGGCUCAACCUGGGAACUGC